rnacentral:rRNA from 1 species
AGCUUGAAGAAAUAAAUUUCAGGUUUAACCUGCCCUGUGAUAUUUUAACGGCUGCGGUACCUUGACCGUACUAAGGUAGCAUAAUCAAUUGGCUUUUAAAUGGAGUCUGGAAUGAAAGGGAAAUUGGAGUUUAACUUUUUUAUUAAAAUUUUAUUGAAUUUACUAUAAAAGUGAAAAAGCUUUUUUUAUGAAAAAAGACGAGAAGACCCUUGGAGUUUACUUUAUUUUUGUUGGGGCGACAUUAAAAACAAAACUUUUAUAUUUAUACUAAUCAACUUUUAGUUAUAAUUUAUAAACUACCCAAGGGAUAACAGCAUAAUUCUUUUGAGAUUGUGACCUCGAUGUUGGACUAGGAAAGAUAAUUACUAGUAGUUAUUAUUUUAGGUUCUGUUCGAACUUAUUUCUCCU